rnacentral:rRNA from 1 species
GACGAACGCUGGCGGCGUGCUUAACACAUGCAAGUCGAACGGAAAGGCCCUGCUUUUGUGGGGUGCUCGAGUGGCGAACGGGUGAGUAACACGUGAGUAACCUGCCCUUGACUUUGGGAUAACUUCAGGAAACUGGGGCUAAUACCGGAUAGGAGCUCCUGCUGCAUGGUGGGGGUUGGAAAGUUUCGGCGGUUGGGGAUGGACUCGCGGCUUAUCAGCUUGUUGGUGGGGUAGUGGCUUACCAAGGCUUUGACGGGUAGCCGGCCUGAGAGGGUGACCGGCCACAGUGGGCCUGGGGUGCGGCCCAGACUCCUACGUGAGCCAGCGGUGGAGAAUAUUGCGCGAUGGGCGGCGGCCUGAUGGAGCAUCGCCGCGUGCGGGAUGACGGCCUUCGGGUUGUAAACCGCUUUCGCCUGUGACGAAGCGUGAGUGACGGUAAUGGGUAAAGAAGCACCGGCUAACUACGUG